rnacentral:rRNA from 1 species
ACACGUAGGGGGCGAGCGUUAUCCGGAAUUACUGGGCGUAAAGAGUGCGUAGGUGGCUUUGCAAGCGUAGGGUAUAAGGCGACAGCCCAACUGUCGUUGGCCCCGCGAACUGUAAGGCUUGAGUACAGGAGGGGAAGGCGGAAUUCCUAGUGUAGCGGUGAAAUGCGUAGAUAUUAGGAGGAACACCAGUGGCGAAGGCGGCCUUCUGGACUGUAACUGACACUGAGGCACGAAAGCGUGGGUAGCAAACAGGAUUAGAUACCCUGGUAGUCCACGCCGUAAACGAUGAGCACUAGGUGUCGGGCUCGCAAGAGUUCGGUGCCGGAGCAAACGCAUUAAGUGCUCCGCCUGGGGAGUACGCACGCAAGUGUGAAACUCAAAUGAAUUGGCGGGG